rnacentral:rRNA from 1 species
UACGGAGGGUGCGAGCGUUAAUCGGAAUUACUGGGCGUAAAGGGCGCGUAGGCGGUGAAGUCAGUCGGGUGUGAAAGCCCCGGGCUCAACCUGGGAACGGCAUCCGAUACUGCUUCGCUAGAGUAUGGUAGAGGGAAGCGGAAUUCCGGGUGUAGCGGUGAAAUGCGCAGAUAUCAGGAGGAACACCGGUGGCGAAGGGGGGUCCCUAGGCCGGCUCCGACGCUGAGGGACGAAAGCUGGGGGAGCGAACCGGAUUAGAAACCCCAGUAGU